rnacentral:rRNA from 1 species
ACACGUAGGGGCCUGACGUUGUUCGGAAUCAUUGGGCGUAAAGGGCGCGCAGGCGGCCGUCCAAGUCCGGUGUUAAAUGGUCGGGCUCAACCCGAUCAUGCGCUGGAAACUGGGCGGCUGGAGUCCCGGAGGGGAUGCCGGAAUCCCAGGUGUAGGGGUGAAAUCUGUAGAUAUCUGGAAGAACACCGAUGGCGAAGGCAGGCAUCUGGCCGGAGACUGACGCUGAGGCGCGAAGGCGCGGGGAGCGAACAGGUUUAGAUACCCUGGUAGUCCGCGCAGUAAACGAUGCGCACCAGGUGUCGGGCGGCAGCGCCCGGUACCGGAGCAAACGCGAUGAGUGCGCCGCCUGGGGAGUAUGCCCGCAAGGGUGAAACUCAAAGGAAUUGACGGGG